rnacentral:lncRNA from 1 species
GUUUUUCUAUCGUCCAGCUGUCUGAACACCCACAUGUAAACUUGACAAUGUAGCCUUUAUUCCUUUUUAAAAGCGGAUUUCAAGUGUCUAAAAGAAAGUUUUAGUUUCUUCUUCAUUACACAUCGGAUUACAUAACUUAGUUUACACUUGAGGUCACACCUGGGAGAAUUGGGAAUGGGAUCCGGACAGUAAAUCUCCUGAUGCUCAUCUGUCUCUGUGCCGACAAGCCGUAUAUUUUCAUAUCAGCCCU